UACGGGGGGGGCAAGCGUUGUUCGGAUUCAUUGGGCGUAAAGGGUGCGUAGGCGGCGCGGUAAGUCGGGUGUGAAAUCUCGGAGCUUAACUCCGAAACUGCAUUCGAUACUACCGUGCUUGAGGACUGGAGAGGAGACUGGAAUUUACGGUGUAGCGGUGAAAUGCGUAGAUAUCGUAAGGAAGACCAGUGGCGAAGGCGGGUCUCUGGACAGUUCCUGACGCUGAGGCACGAAGGCCAGGGGAGCAAACGGG
rnacentral:rRNA from 1 species